UACGGGGGGGGCAAGCGUUGUUCGGAAUUACUGGGCGUAAAGGGCUUGUAGGUGGCCAACUAAGUCAGACGUGAAAUCCCUCGGCUUAACCGGGGAACUGCGUCUGAUACUGGAUGGCUGGAGUGUGGGAGAGGGAUGCGGAAUUCCAGGUGUAGCGGUGAAAUGCGUAGAUAUGCGGAGGAACACCGAUGGCGAAGGCAAUCCCCUGGGCCUGCACUGACGCUCAUGCACGAAAGCGUGGGGAGCAAACAGG
rnacentral:rRNA from 1 species